CACCCACUGAUGGACAUGUGGCUAUUCGGAAUGACAUUGCUGCAAACACACAUGUGCUCCUGGAGACACUUUGGAGGCCACGCCUACAGGAUGUGCGGAAGGAUGUGCAGUGAGAAACUAGGAGGAGAGCCGAGGCGGGUUUCCAGGUGUGAGGCCCAGGCACCCGUAGAAACAGAGAUGGAGGAGAAUGGAGGGGGCGGGUUGGGGGCAGGUGAGAUGGGGGGGGCCUGGCAGACGUCCACAUGGAGACAAUAAGGAGGCAGCUGUCCCAACAAGUGCAGUGUCAGGGCAGAGGUCCCGGCUGGAGAUACAAGUGUGAGGCACCAAGGGCAAGGGACCUAGAGCUGGUGCCAGUGGAUGGCCUGGCUCCACAGGAGGCUGCGUGGGUGGGGAAGGCCAGCGCCCGUGCCGGGGUGCAGGGCACCGACACGGGAGGCCAUCAGUGAUCCGACGGGUGGUCAUGGUGGGCUGCUUGGGGGAGCGACCAGAACACAGAGCAGUGGGCUUGCAUGAGGGCACCCAGACAGCUUUUUCAAGGGCUUCUGCUGAAAAGAGGGCCAGGAGCUACGAAGUGGCAGCUCGAGAGACGGCAGCCAAGCGGGGCUGCUACAUGGUUGCUGCUUUAGAGACAGGAGAGGUCAUGGCAGGUUUUCACCUAUAUGGGAGUCACAGACUGGGAGAGACCAGUACAAGAGAGGAGCACUGCAGGAAGCUCUUGAGAAGGAAAAUAGGUGAGAUCCAGCACAAGGUGGGGCGAGAUCCAGGGCACAAGGUGGGGACCGAGAUCCAGGACACAAGAGUGGGGCAAGAUCCAGCACACAAGGCGGGGGCGAGAUCGAGGGUACAAGGAGGAGCGAGAUCCAGGGCACAAGGUGGGGGCCAAGAUCCAGCGCACAAUAGGUGGUGAGAGCCAGGGCACAAUGGGGGGUCGAGAUCCAGGGCACAAGCGGGGGCAAGAUCGAGGGCACAAGGGGGGUGUGAGAUCCAGUGCACAAGGUCAGUGGCGAGAUCGAGGGCACAAGGAGGGGCGAGAUCUAGGGCACAAGGUGGGGUGAGAUCCAGGGCACAAGCGUGGAGGUGAGAUCCAGGGCACAAGCGUGGAGGUGAGAUCCAGGGCACAAGCGUGGAGGUGAGAUCCAGUGCACAGAGUGGGGUGAUAACCAGUGCACAAUGUGGGGGGUUGAGAUCCAGCCCUGCAUUGGGGGGUGCAGCAGGGGUGUGGCUAACUACAAAGCUGCACCAACAGCCUGUCCGUCUGUCCAGUCCUGUGUGUUCACGCCUCUCCUCCUGUCCAGAGGUGAAAUCUCUGCCCCUCUUUGCGGAGCUGGGCUGGCCCGUGACUUGCCUAGACUGUGAGAAUGCCAGCAUUCCCCUACCACGCCCCUGACCAUGCUGCCCCCAACCAUGUCCCCAAGCCAGCUAUACCCUCGCAAGAAAGCACCCAGGAAGGCCGGGGCCUCUGACAUCUGGUUCUCUGCCAAGUCCCAAGCUCAAAGCCUGGCACAUCAUACAUACCCAGUUCAUGUUUGUUGAAUGAAUACGUGACUGUUUUAACUCCGUGCCUAUUUUGAGAGGGUCAGGGAGGGGAUCACUGCCUCCUUCCGUUGCACCAGGUGGCCUACAGAGAAGCCGCCUGCCUCCCACCCAGCAAGUGGCGAUACUCGGAUCCCAAGUGCAGAGCAGAGCGGAAGAAACAGUGCAGGCCCCUGACUUGGAGCAGAGCUCGGAACAGGGCCCAGGACACCAUCUGGACCCAAACCCUGCUGGACGUGAGCCGUACCAGUCACGUGGGCCACAUGGGGCUGCGUGCCCUGUCACCCACGUCAAAGCUUCCUCAGCACAAGGUGGAGGAACAGGGCAGGGCGCCCAC
rnacentral:lncRNA from 1 species